rnacentral:rRNA from 1 species
UACGUAGGCAGCGAGCGUUGUUCGGAAUUACUGGGCGUAAAGAGUGUGUAGGCGGUGCUCCCAGUCUGUUGUGAAAUCUCCCGGCUUAACUGGGAGGGUGCAGCGGAAACUAGAGUGCUAGAGGGUGGGAGAGGUGAGCGGAAUUCCUGGUGUAGCGGUGAAAUGCGUAGAUAUCAGGAGGAACACCUGUGGUGUAGACAGCUUUCUGGACCGUAGCUGACGCUGAGACACGAAAGCGUGGGUAGCAAACAGG